rnacentral:sRNA from 1 species
GCGAUGAGCUAAUUGUGUAAGACGAAAGAUUUGCAUUUUGCAAAACGUAUGAAUGUGGUCAUACGGUCUUUUCGCGACAAACGCCAAGGCGCCUGACCAGGACAGGCGCC